rnacentral:rRNA from 1 species
UACAGAGGUCUCAAGCGUUGUUCGGAUUCAUUGGGCGUAAAGGGUGCGUAGGCGGUCUGUCGCGUCUGCUGUGAAAACUCGGGGCUUAACCCCGGGCCUGCAGUGGGUACGGGCAGACUAGAGUGCGGUAGGGGAGACUGGAAUUCCUGGUGUAGCGGUGAAAUGCGCAGAUAUCAGGAGGAACACCGGUGGCGAAGGCGGGUCUCUGGGCCGUAACUGACGCUGAGGAGCGAAAGCAUGGGGAGCGAACAGG